CGUGAGCGGCGGACGGGUGAGUAACGCGUGGGUAACUUGCCUCAUACAGGGGGAUAACAGUUGGAAACGGCUGCUAAUACCGCAUAAGCGCACAGUACCGCAUGGUACGGUGUGAAAAACUCCGGUGGUAUGAGAUGGACCCGCGUCUGAUUAGGUAAUUGGUGGGGUAACGGCCUACCAAGCCGACGAUCAGUAGCCGACCUGAGAGGGUGACCGGCCACAUUGGGACUGAGACACGGCCCAA
rnacentral:rRNA from 1 species